AAGGUUACUUUUCUACUUUGAACAAGCAAACAAGCCAACAGAAGAGAAGUUUCACAAGCAACUCCCAGCACAUCCGCUCACCUAGUGUUGUCUGUGACCUCACUCUCGGUGCCCCACCUCUUAUUACAGAUUGAACAGGGUCCAGGGGGAAGGACCAAGCCUGUCCCAUCGGCCAUCCUAUGUGUCAUGUCCUGGGACCCAGUGGAUGCUCAGCACCUGAAGAAGAUUGUCUUAGACACAUGGAAGCUGAGGACGCCUACUGUCCCCUCGGAACCCAGGUGGGGCUGGGAGUCUGCUGUUUGUAUAGCCGGUGGGCUCGUGUUGCUUUGGGCAUCCCUGUGUCUGAAUUCCUGCAGUACACUCGGUGGUUUUACCUGAACCACCAGCUUCUGCAUCUCUGAAGACAGAUGAUGAGGACCCUUCACGUAAACCGUUCGCACAGCCCUGUGCAGGCCUUUGUGCUGCACGGUCUGCCCGGCGAGAUAACUGAGUGCAUUCCAUGGUGCAUCCUCGCCUAGAAUUGAGUGGAAGCAAGUCCAUCUCAGAAGGGACAUAACUGAAGGGGGAUGGCUUCCCAGACUCUGAUGGGCAGAGAGAGCAGCAGCCUGGCAUCUCUGAGCCCGCCCUUGGUGACCUCAGAGAGAUCACCCUAGUGGCCCAGGCUAGUGACCGGGAACAUGUACCUUCCUGCAGCCAACCCCAGACGUCCACUGAUGCAUCAUAUACUGGCAAAGAUCCUGGCCUAGGGGGGCCUUGGCCGCUGGAGUUUCGCCAGAUGUUGGACUCCAGG